rnacentral:rRNA from 1 species
UACGGGGGGAGCAAGCGUUGUUCGGAUUUACUGGGCGUAAAGCACAGUAGGCGGCUUCGCAAGUCGGAUGUGAAAUCCCGUGGCUCAACCAUGGACGUGCAUCCGAAACUGUGAGGCUUGAGUAUGGAAGAGGGUCGCGGAAUUCCCGGUGUAGAGGUGAAAUUCGUAGAUAUCGGGAGGAACACCAGUGGCGAAGGCGGCGACCUGGGCCAAUACUGACGCAUGAG